AGCCUAGCUAGAUCUCUAUGGCUCUGAUGCAAACAUGACUUUAUUUAUAUGGUCCCACUCCAUCUGGGUCUGACUACCGCUGAGUUGACUAUACGCCUCAUCUGUCUGGCAUCGAAUGCAUUUUUCAUUUCCCUCACCUGUUUGCCAUGGGAUAAAAGACAUAUGCCGGGUCUUUUUUUUUACCUGCUCUGAUGGUCUGUUUUUUCUUGUGUGUGAACACAAAGUGAGUAAUUGAUCUGCCCGAAGCUGCUGUGGGCCUUGUGUUCCCCUGAGCAUUGAGCUCCCCUGCAAUUCCUAACUGGUGUCCUGUUUGUUCAACGAUGGAAACAGAAACAUUCCACUGCAGAUUAAGUGUUUCAGAGAUGGCAAGGGCUGCUUAAAUUAUCAGGACUUGGAUUUCAUUUGCUCCUCAUAAAUUGUUAUUGUGUCGUUAAAUCCCCAUAUUGAAAUUACUGGUGCAUAAUUUAUCAUCCUAAUUAAUUAUUUUGUUUGAUUCCACUUGAACUCUCAUUAGCUGAUAAAGUAGAAUGAACCAUG